rnacentral:rRNA from 1 species
UACGUAGGGAGCAAGCGUUGUCCGGAAUCAUUGGGCGUAAAGCGCGCGUAGGCGGCUCGAUCAGUCUGUUGUGAAAGUCAAAGGCUCAACCUUUGAAUGCCGAUGGAUACUGUCGAGCUAGAGUCCGGAAGAGGCGAGUGGAAUUCCUGGUGUAGCGGUGGAAUGCGCAGAUAUCAGGAGGAACACCAACGGCGAAGGCAGCUCGCUGGGACGGUACUGACGCUAAGACGCGAAAGCGUGGGGAGCAAACAGG